rnacentral:rRNA from 1 species
AACGAACGCUGGCGGCAGGCUUAACACAUGCAAGUCGAGCGAGACCUUCGGGUCUAGCGGCGGACGGGUGAGUAACGCGUGGGAACGUGCCCUUCUCUACGGAAUAGCCCCGGGAAACUGGGAGUAAUACCGUAUACGCCCUUUGGGGGAAAGAUUUAUCGGAGAAGGAUCGGCCCGCGUUGGAUUAGGUAGUUGGUGGGGUAAUGGCCCACCAAGCCGACGAUCCAUAGCUGGUUUGAGAGGAUGAUCAGCCACACUGGGACUGAGACACGGCCCAGACUCCUACGGGAGGCAGGAGUGGGGAAUCUUAGAAAAUGGGGGCAACCCUGAUCUAGCCAUGCCGGGUGAGUGAUGAAGGCAUUAGGGUUGUAAAGCUCUUUCAGCUGGGAAGAUAAUGACGGUACCAGCAGAAGAAGCCCCGGCUAACUCCGUG